CGAAAGACCUAUCUUCGAAAUGCAAGGAUUGCAAAAGUUCAAACCUCAAAUAUAUAUUAUUUAGCCUAUCUAAUAUGGAUUUUUGAAAACAACAAAGUAAUUUUAACUUUUAAAAGGCAAAAACACCAGCUAACAUAAACCUAGCGCCCUUUUUUAUGUUCCUCAAAAGAGGGCGUCAAACACGAGUGGUCCACGCGAGGCUGAAGCCGAACUAUUGUGACAAUCACAACAAGUUGGCUACCCAGGAUAUCCACCACGUCUUCUUUUGGCAAAGUAUUAACUGGAUAAUGGACUAUCCAUGCAAUACUACAUGUACCCUCCUACUAGAAUGGAGUAGGCCACCAGAGACAGGGUCCAGAUAUUCUUGAUGACUCUCUCCAUUUAAACGCUUUUGUUUUGCCGAAACAUUGGAGGAACAGCUCACAGGGUAGCUGCCCUCAUGUGCGAUACAGUUUCCUCUUGAUUUCCACCCGACAGGGAUAAUUUUGGUAGUCAGCCUUCACAGUCAAGAUGCUUAGCAAAAACAGACACUUGGGUGAUGCGGUCUGAAACAGGGAGAAGAUGCUAUGUGCCAGAGAUGUAGCUAGUGCCAUGGAAAAGGGAAUUACCUCUACUGACAUUUUGAAGGCUACAGGGUGAGCAACGAUUGUGUACAUUACAAUCAUCAAGACCUCUUAGCUGUUCAUCUAGCUAGUUCGGUGAAUGAACAAGCAAAGUGAUAGGGACCACUAUGAACAACCCAACCAAGUCCUUAUCACUAUGUUUUUAAAGGAACACGUUGCCUUGGAUCGGUCGAGUUGGUCUUUGAAAAGCGUUUGUUAUC